GUUGUGACUCAGUGGUAGAGCACUUGCCUAGCAUGUGUGAGGCACUGGGUUCAAUUCUCAGCACCACA
rnacentral:tRNA from 1 species